AACCUCCGCAAUGUGAGAAAUCGCGACGGGGGGAUCCCAAGUGCCAUUCUUAACGGGAUGGCUUUCCUUAAGUGUAAAAAGCUUUUGGAAUAAGAGCUGGGCAAGACCGGUGCCAGCCGCCGCGGUAACACCGGCAGCUCUAGUGGUAGCUGUUUUUAUUGGGCCUAAAGCGUUCGUAGCCGGUUUGAUAAGUCACUGGUGAAAUCCUGUAGCUUAACUGUGGGAAUUGCUGGUGAUACUGUUGAACUUGAGGUCGGGAGAGGUUAGCGGUACUCCCAGGGUAGAGGUGAAAUUCUGUAAUCCUGGGAGGGCCACCUGUGGCGAAGGCGGCUAACUGGAACGAACCUGACGGUGAGGGACGAAAGCUAGGGGCGCGAACCGGAUUAGAUACCCGGGUAGUCCUAGCCGUAAACGAUGCGGACUUGGUGUUGGGAUGGCUUUGAGCCGCUCCGGUGCCGAAGGGAAGCUGUUAAGUCCGCCGCCUGGGAAGUACGGUCGCAAGACUGAAACUUAAAGGAAUU
rnacentral:rRNA from 1 species